UACACUCCUGCGGGAGGCAGCAGUGGGGAAUAUCGCACAAUGGGCGCAAGCCUGAUGCAGCCAUGCCGCGUGUAUGAAGAAGGCCUUCGGGUUGUAAAGUACUUUCAGCGGGGAGGAAGGCGAUAAGGUUAAUAACCUUGUCGAUUGACGUUACCCGCAGAAGAAGCACCGGCUAACUCCGUGCCAGCAGCCGCGGUAAUACGGAGGGUGCAAGCGUUAAUCGGAAUUACUGGGCGUAAAGCGCACGCAGGCGGUCUGUCAAGUCGGAUGUGAAAUCCCCGGGCUCAACCUGGGAACUGCAUUCGAAACUGGCAGGCUAGAGUCUUGUAGAGGGGGGUAGAAUUCCAGGUGUAGCGGUGAAAUGCGUAGAGAUCUGGAGGAAUACCGGUGGCGAAGGCGGCCCCCUGGACAAAGACUGACGCUCAGGUGCGAAAGCGUGGGGAGCAAACAGGAUUAGAAACCCGGGUAGUCCCA
rnacentral:rRNA from 1 species